rnacentral:lncRNA from 1 species
CCCUAUAAAUAAAACAUUGGAAUGAGUCUAGUAGCACUCUUGAUUAAUAUCGUACUUGAAAAAUAUUCGUAACUCCUUAAUUUUGUCAUUGAAACUGAAAAUUGAUUGAUAUCGUACUUGAAAUUUGAUGUACCAAAUCAAUGUUCUCCUUCCCUUUUGACUGCUAUUCGUGUGCUGACAUGCACACUUGUAGACCCACAUGUCCAAUUAAAUGAUACCAUGUGGAUCAAAGAAUCAAUUUUCAAAGAUAAUUUAAAUCAUGAAAAUAAUAACAAUGAAUAAAAAAAAAUUUGUCGAGCUCGGUUACGUAGGAUUGUGACUAAUGGGGCAUUAAAGGUGUUGGGGACGUAAAAGAGAGAAGCUUGGCUCCUUAAGAUUGAGGAGGAGUUCCUACUCAAAACACUUCGUGGUCAAUUUUUGUGUCAAUUCACAAAACUUUGUACUUAUGGUUGGAACUUUUCAUAUUAUAAAUCACUCUGUAAGAUCAUCUUUGCCAAAAAUCCCCUAUAAAACUAAGUUUGUUAAGUCAAUCAACUAUAGUAAAUGGUUCGUAAUAGUUUUACUGAUACUUACCAUUUAUUUUUGUACAGUUUGAUCAUAGUUUUUAAAUUUUUUGUAGAGAUGAUCUUUACAUGAUGAUUUAUAAUAUGAACGGUUCUGAUCAUAAGCAUGAACAUGAAGUAUCGUGAAUUGGCCACGAAGUAUAUUAAAGAGGAGUUCCUCCUCAAUCUUUGAGAAGCCAAGUCUUUUCCGAAUAAAAAAACCAAAACUUACAUCAUUCCUUAUGACUUAGAAACCCAUACC